rnacentral:rRNA from 1 species
GCAAAUGGGAUUAGAUACCCCAGUAGUCCACGCCGUAAACGAUGGGUAUUAGUCAUUUGGAUUUAAGUUGAGUGAUGUAGCUAACGCGUUAAAUACCCCGCCUGGGUAGUAUAUAUGCAAAUAUGAAACUCAAAGAAAUUGACGGGGACCUGAACAAGUGGUGGAGCAUGUUGCUUAAUUCGAUAAUACACGCAAAACCUUACCAAGGCUUGCAAUCUUCUGCAAAGCUAUAGAAAUAUAGUGGAGGCUAUCAGAAUGACAGGGGGUGCAUGGCUGUCGUCAGCUCGUGUCUUGAGAUGUUUGGUUAAGUCCCGUAACGAGCGCAACCCUUCAUAUUAGUUGUUUAGUUCUAAUAUGACUGAAUCGUAAGAUCUAGGAAGGAUGGGGCCAAGUCAAGUCAUCAUGCCCCUUAUGCCUUGGGCUGCAAACGUGCUACAAUGGUAGAUACAAUGUGU